rnacentral:tRNA from 1 species
GAGCUUGAAGCUAAAAAGAAGUAACGGUUUUGUAAACCGAAGACUGGAGGUCCUUACUCCCGAACUCA